AUAAGAAGACCAUGUUUGAAUAUAAUUCAAACUUAAAAAAAUGCCGGGGCAGAUGGAUCAAAGUGUCAAGAUGAUUCUAGUCUUAGUAAGUUCAUUUUUUGUGGAUAAGCAUUGCCUUUUAAAUCCAGAUAACUGAGUGAAUGUUUGAUGAUCUAGUUGGAAUGUGGAAGAGUUGAUGCUUACUCAUUGAUGAGAUUGUAGAGUCUGAGAACUUUGUGGAGGACGUGAUUGUAAAGGCUACCCAAAAGUCCACCUAUGAUUCCAAUCAGUGCAAUAGGGAUGAUGUCCACAG
rnacentral:lncRNA from 1 species